rnacentral:rRNA from 1 species
GGAUCCUGGCUCAGGAUGAACGCUAGCGGCAGGCCUAAUACAUGCAAGUCGAACGGUAAGGUCUCUUCGGAGAUACACGAGUGGCGUACGGGUGCGUAACGCGUAUGCAACCUACCUUUGUCUGGGGGAUAGCCCCGAGAAAUCGGGAUUAAUACCCCAUAACAUUACGAGCAGGCAUCUGUUUGUGAUCAAAGUUCCGGCGGACAAAGAGGGGCCAGCGGCCCAUCAGCUAGUUGGUAGGGUAACGGCCUACCAAGGCAAAGACGGGUAGGGGACGUGAGAGCGUGAACCCCCACACUGGUACUGACACACGGACCAGAUACCUACGGGUAGCAGCAGCAAGGAAUAUUGCCCAAUGGACGCAAGUCUGAGGCAGCAACGCCGCGUGGAGGAUGAAGGCCUUCGGGUCGUAAACUCCUUUUCUGGGGGAAGAGAAAGGACGGUACCCCAGGAAUAAGUCUCGGCUAACUACGUGCCAGCAGCCGCGGUAAAACGUAGGAGGCGAGCGUUAUCCGGAUUUACUGGGCGUAAAGCGCAUGCAGGCGGUUUCUUAAGUCGGACGUGAAAGCUCUCGGCUCAACUGGGAGAGGUCGUUCGAAACUAGGGAACUUGAGGAUGGUAGAGGAGAGUGGAAUUCCCGGUGUAGUGGUGAAAUGCGUAGAUAUCGGGAGGAACACCAGUGGCGAAGGCGGCUCUCUGGGCUAUUCCUGACGCUAAGACGCGAAAGCUAGGGGAGAGAACGGGAUUAGAAACCCCGGUAUUCCUAGCCGUAAACGAUGUCAACUAGGUGUAGGGGGUAUCCAACCCCCCUGUGCUGUAGCUAACGCGUUAAGUUGACCGCCUGGGGACUACGGCCGCAAGGCUAAAACUCAAAGGAAUUGACGGGGACCCGCACAAGCAGCGGAGCGUGUGGUUUAAUUCGAGUCUACGCGAAGAACCUUACCAGGGUUUGACAUGUCGGUGGUAGAAAGGUGAAAGCCGACCGACCCUUCGGGGAGCCGUCACAGGUGCUGCAUGGCUGUCGUCAGCUCGUGCCGUGAGGUGUUCGGUUAAGUCCGGUAACGAGCGCAACCCUCGUCGUCAGUUACAAGUGUCUGGCGAGACUGCCCGUGACAAGCGGGAGGAAGGUGGGGAUGACGUCAAGUCAGCAUGGCCUUUAUGUCCAGGGCUACACACACGCUACAAUGGCCGGUACAAUGGGUCGCCAACCCGCGAGGGGGAGCCAAUCCAAUAAAGCCGGUCUCAGUUCGGAUUGUAGGCUGCAACUCGCCUGCAUGAAGUCGGAGUUGCUAGUAACCGCACGUCAGCACAGUGCGGUGAAUACGUUCCCGGGCCUUGUACACACCGCCCGUCACGUCAUGGAAGUUGGCAACGCCUGAAGUCAGU